rnacentral:tRNA from 1 species
GCCAGGGAUAGCUCAGUUGGCAGAGCAUGAGACUCUUAAUCUCAGGGUCAUGAGUUUGAGCCCCAUGUUGGGCA